GCGGUCGUGGCGAAACUGGUAAACGCGCUAGCUUUGGAAGCUAGUUGGGUGCCACCCCAUUGCGGGUUCGAAUCCCGCCGACCGCU
rnacentral:tRNA from 1 species